AGUAAAAGUCGUAACAAGGUUUCCGUAGGUGAACCUGCGGAAGGAUCAUUAUCGAAAUAAAUCUGAUGAGUUGCUGCUGGUUCUCUAAGGGAGCAUGUGCACACUUGUCAUCUUUAUAUCUCCACCUGUGCACCUUUUGUAGACCUGGAUCACUCUCCGAAUGCUAGCCAUUCAGGAUUGAGGAAUUGACUUCACAUUCUCUUCUUCUAUUUCCAGGCCUAUGUUUCUUCAUAUACCCCAAUGUAUGUCGUAGAAUGUAAUCAAAUGGCCUUUGUG
rnacentral:misc_RNA from 1 species